ensembl:lncRNA
CACCAACCCAGACACCAGUACAAACCACCACUCAGUAUUCCACUGUCAGGAAAUCUACUGAAACACCAAAAACAACAGUUAAACCUAGAACCACAAGUGCAGAAACAUCCACAACAUCUGAACGUGUUUCAUCCACUACCAAACCACCUAAAGAAGAGACCACUGUUUCCACAAGUACUGCUGAAACGUCCUCCACCACUUCUGUUGUGAGGACAACCACAUCGUUGAAGCCAUCAACAAAAACGUCUGCUCCAAGCACAGAGUCCAGAAAACCUACUGUAACAACCUCUACACCAAUCACUUCUACGCAGAGAACAGCACCUCCUUCUACAGCUGAAUUGACUACUCAAAAAGAAUCAACAACCCCUCGUGAAGUUUCUACCACAUCCUCCAUCCCUCCAACAACUGUAACAUCUCCUGAGACUAGUCUGCCAACCACUACAGCUACAAGUACGGUCUCCACUGAAAAAGCCACAUCACCCCAAACAUCACCACCGACAAGUACAGCUGCUCCAACAACACUGACCCAGGAGCCAGUAGUGACCACCACUCAGCCUUCCACUGGUACCAAGUCUACUGAAAUACCAUCAACAACAACUGUAAUCACCACCACAAUCGCAGAAACAUCCACAGAAGCUGAGAGCACAACAUCUGAACAUGUUUCAUCCACUACAAAACCACCUAAAGAAGAGACCACUGUUUCCACAAGUACUGCUGAAACGUCCUCCACCACUUCUGUUGUGAGGACAACCACAUCGUUGAAGCCAUCAACAAAAACGUCUGCUCCAAGCACAGAGUCCAGAAAACCUACUGUAACAACCUCUACACCAAUCACUUCUACGCAGAGAACAGCACCUCCUUCUACAGCUGAAUUGACUACUCAAAAAGAAUCAACAACCCCUCGUGAAGUUUCUACCACAUCCUCCAUCCCUCCAACAAUUGUAACAUCUCCUGAGACCGGUCUGCCAACCACUACAGCUACAAGUACGGUCUCCACUGAAAAAGCCACAUCACCCAAAACAUCACCACCGAGAAGUACGGCUGCUCCAACAACACUGACCCAGGAGCCAGUAGUGACCACCACUCAGCCUUCCACUGUUACCAAGUCUACUGAAAUACCAUCAACAACAGCUGUAAUCACCACCACAAUCGCAGAAACAUCCACAGAAGCUGAGAGCACAACAUCUGAACAUGUUUCAUCCACUACAAAACCACCUAAAGAAGAGACAACUGUUUCCACAAGUACUGCUGAAACGUCCUCCACCACUUCUGUUGUGGAAACGACCACGUCUGUCCAGUCAUCAACAAAAACAUCUGCUCCAAGCACAGAGUCCAGAAAACCUACUGUAACAACCUCUACACCAAUCACUUCUACGCAGAGAACAGCACCUCCUUCUACAGCUGAAUUGACUACUCAAAAAGAAUCAACAACCCCUCGUGAAGUUUCUACCACAUCCUCCAUCCCUCCAACAACUGUAACAUCUCCUGAGACCGGUCUGCCAACCACUACAGCUACAAGUACGGUCUCCACUGAAAAAGCCACAUCACCCAAAACAUCACCACCGACAAGUACAGCUGCUCCAACAACACUGACCCAGGAGCCAGUAGUGACCACCACUCAGCCUUCCACUGUUACCAAGUCUACUGAAACACCAUCAACAACAGCUGUAAUCACCACCACAAUCGCAGAAACAUCCACAGAAGUUGAGAGCACAACAUCUGAACAUGUUUCAUCCACUACAAAACCACCUAAAGAAGAGACCACUGUUUCCACAAGUACUGCUGAAACGUCCUCUACCACUGCUGUUGUGGAAACGACCACGUCUGUCCAGUCAUCAACAGAAACAUCUGCUCCAAGCACAGCAUCCACAAUACCUACUGUAACAACCUCUACACCAAUCACUUCUACACAGACAACAGCGCCUCCUUCUACAACUGAAUUUACUACUCAAGAAGAAUCAACAACCCCUCCUGAAGUUUCUACCACAUCCUCCAUCCCUCCAACAAUUGUAACAUCUCCUGAGACCGGUCUGCCAACCACUACCGCUACAAGUACAGUCUCCACCAAAACAGCCACAUCGCCAGAAACAUCACCACCGACAAGUACGGCUGCUCCAGCAACACCAACUCAGGCGCCAGUAGUGACCACCACUCAGCCUUCCACUGUUACCAAAUCUACUGAAACACCAUCAACAACAGUUGUAAUCACCACCACAAUUGCAGAAACAUCCACAGAAGCUGAGAGCACAACAUCUGAACAUGUUUCAUCCACUACAAAACCACCUAAGGUAGAGACCACUG